AAAAUAUGCAACCAGUGAUCAGUUGAAUUGAUACCUUUUCAUCUACCAGAAGAUUUAAGGAGGUUAUUGCUUGGAAAACUGUUCGAGCUCCCGGGCUGGCAUGCACUGCAGGUACAGUGAAAUCAAUUAUGCAGGUUCUUGAAGAAAGUCGUGGAUGACAACAAUGUAUGAUUUACCAGACCAAGGGAUCCCAAUGUUUUUUGAUGGCUCCAGCUACUCAGCUUACUGUGAGAGAGUUAACACCUUAUUGACAUAUCUUUCAUGAAGAAGAAACACUUGAGAAGAGUUCAAGAGUUUAAUUUUAUAGAUGGCAAGUGUUGCUUAGACCUAAAGUAUUCUUUAAUUGUGAAGAAAACAAACAUAAGGGUGUUCGGCAAUUCAUAACUAUUAACUGUGAUUGCAUUGUGUAUUUUUAAAAUCAUUCUUUGGUAUGCUUC